rnacentral:rRNA from 1 species
AUGAAUGUCUUAUCAUGGAACUGCCGGGGGGUGGGGAACCGCCGGACAGUUCGUGAGGUGUUGGCCCUCUCAAAAGCCAACGACCCCAAACUAGUCUUUCUUAGUGAGACUAGACAAGAGGCAUUGAAGGUUGAAAAAAUGAGAUGGAGACUUGGUCUGAAGGGUUUCCAUGGCAUGAGCAGCGAUGGCAGAAGUGGUGGAUUGGCACUAUUUUGGGAUGAGUCUUUGUCAGUUACAGUGCUAGAAUCCUGCAACCGAUUCAUUGAUGUUCGAGUUGUGGAUGGUGGUUCCGGAAUAUCAUGGCGGGGAACCUUUGUCUACGGCGAACCGAGAGUUGAAAAUAGACAACGGAUGUGGGAUCAGUUAUGCAGGCUUUGUGCGGUCUCGCAGGAGCCUUGGCUUGUUUGUGGGGAUUUCAACGAAGCAAUAUGGCAGCAUGAACAUCUCUCUAGGACCAUGCGUUCUGAAUCUCAGAUGUCUGCGUUCAGAGACUGUCUAUUACUAUGUGAGCUCGAGGACCUUGGGUUCAGUGGGCUCCCGUAUACAUACAAUAAUGGCUAG